AAGGGUUACAGCUAUUUUAGAAUUUGUCUAGGAGGUUUUCCAGUCCUUACCAACCCGC
rnacentral:snRNA from 1 species